GGCAGAAGGUCCAGAAAGCAGCAGUGACUCUCCAGGCGUCUCUUCCCUCCGUCCUGGGGACAAGCAGAGCUGGGGAUGGUGCCUGCGUGGCCACCAGGCCCUAGAAUGAGAUCAGUGUGGACACGGGCACUGGCCCAGCCACAGGGGACGUGCGGAGGGCUGAACCCGGGCUGUUUUCUUUUCUUCAUUUUUCGGAAAGCAACAACCAACACCACUGGACCACAAAGAGACCUACAUGUCCCACCUGGCCGGGUGACUGGCUGGAUUUCUCCACCAUAAAGGCAGUGGCCGUUUCCCUUUGCACCUAACUGAUUCCCUUGAAGCUUUUCCGGCCCCAUGUGACUUGCUGUAGCCUUUAACUAAAUGCUCUUCGUUCUGCUGGAAGAAUGGGAAGAGGCUGACACCCUGCCCAGGAUUGACAGACACCGGGCUGCCAGUCCUGCCUUGACCUCUCUGAGCCUCAGGUCCCAGCUCCACAAAAUGGGACUAAACGGGGACUGGGUCAUCUCUAAGGUCCUCCCAGCUUUGUCAUCGCCCAAUUUAGGUUGUGACUCUGUCUAGAGGUUACUGUGUCCGUACUAUCAUUGUCUUUUUGGUAACAGCCCUUCACUUAAUCAACGGGGCAGGUAGUUUGGGGAAAGUAUCUCUCAGAGUCCGCCAGGCACAACGGGGCAGGAAGUAGGAGCUUGAGUUUUCUCUGGUGAAUGGCCGUGGGACCGCUGGUCUCAGUGCUCACAAAUAGGAACCUGCCCUGUCUUAUUCUGUCCACUUUUGGGGAAAGGUCUUUAUACUAUUAGAAGUUCAUGAACACAUUAAAACAAUCAAA